CCUACGGGUGGCAGCAGUGAGGAAUAUUGGUCAAUGGUCGGGAGACUGAACCAGCCAAGCCGCGUGAGGGAGGAAGGUACAGAGUAUCGUAAACCUCUUUUGUCAGGGAACAAAGGCGGGGACGUGUCCCCGGAUGAGUGUACCUGAAGAAAAAGCAUCGGCUAACUCCGUGCCAGCAGCCGCGGUAAUACGGAGGAUGCGAGCGUUAUCCGGAUUUAUUGGGUUUAAAGGGUGCGCAGGCGGUCUGUUAAGUCAGCGGUCAAAGCCCGGGGCUCAACCCCGGCCCGCCGUUGAAACUGUUGGGCUUGAGUAUCGGAGAGGCAGGCGGAAUUCCUAGUGUAGCGGUGAAAUGCGUAGAUAUUAGGAGGAACACCAGUGGCGAAGGCGGCCUGCUGGACGACAACUGACGGUGAGGCGCGAAAGCGUGGGGAGCAAACAGGAUUAGAUACCCUAGUAGUC
rnacentral:rRNA from 1 species